rnacentral:tRNA from 1 species
AGCCCCGUGGUGUAUAGCAUGUUGGAUUGCAAAUCCAGAGAGGUGAGUUAAUUUCUCGCCGGGGCUU